rnacentral:lncRNA from 1 species
CAACAUAUCCCAAUGAAUGAAGCUAUGCUUUACAUUUCUUUAUCCCUCCAACAAGUCUCAAUAUCAAAACACAUAUAUGAGUACUCAAAUAUUAUGACAUGCCAACUAUAUUCAAUAGUUUCAAAAGAUCACAAGAUCAACAUAUCCAUGUUUCACAUAUAUUUUUCUGAUUUAUGCACACUUACACAUAUCACUAUCACAUCACUUUUCACAUAUUCAUAUCAUGCACUUUCUAGUGCAAGCACUUGCCCAUUAAGCCAUAUAUAUUUCAUAUGUGUGCACAAAACCAGUAGGUCUUAAGGCAUAUUCAGACAUGUACUCAUCACAUAUUAUCACAUUACACUUAAGCAAAUCACAUCACACAUAGGCUUUAUUUGCAAAGUAACAAGGCACAAAUAAGAUCACUUAGCCUUAGGACUUAGGAUAGGUGAUUAGCUCACCUAAACCCCACUUUAACUCACUACUUUGUGCAUUAAUUACAGCACACUAGAUCACUCACCUUUGCAACCUUGGUUUCAAUGACAAUGCUCAAGUAAGCUUUUGUUUUCCUUUUUCCUUACUUGUAAAGGCUUCCAAUCGAGUUGACACUUUACAUACACAUCAAACAUAAUACAAAGGCAUUACAAACAACAAUAAACACAACUACAUCACUCAACAAUCACAGAUCAAAGCCUCUCAUUCACAAUAUCGAAAAGUUGGCAAAUUUUGUUGAAAUAGGUGUUUAACCACUCAAAUCUCGUUUCUAAGAUUAGAUUUUGACUUCAUAUAUCCUAAAUAUCAUCUGAUUAUAUAUCUAAACCAUCAAUUUUAUCUAAUUACACCGAUCUAAUUUUUUUGGAAAAAAUAAGCUUAUAUGAUCAUUAAAAAGGAGAAAAUGUUCAAUUGGUUUAAAUUAUUUAAAAGAUUUAUUAAAUCAAGAUCAAAUACCUUUUAAUUAGAUCAAAAUGAGUUGAAAAUUACUUUAAAAUAGAAGCUUAACUUAGUAAUACGAGAUCUACCAUUUUCAAGCUAAAAAUUGGUUUAAAAUUGAUUGAUUUGUUGAAAUUUUAAUUAAAUCAAUUAAAAAUCGAAUUGAAAUAACAACACACUUAGUUUAAUCAUAAAAAUUUAGAAUCUCACCUCAAUUUGACAAAAACGACGAGUUUAAGAUCAAAUUCGAACUAGGAGCUGUGAAGAACAAUAGAGGAAUUGAGGAUGAGAACUUGAUUAUUCUUUGAAAUUGAAAGAGGAAUUUGUGUUAGAAAGAUUAAGAAUAAAGGAUGAACCAAUUCAAAGAGAAAAUCUCUAAUUUGGUGUUUGAGAAAAUUUUAAAUUAAG